UUCCUUGAACCGCAUGGUUCAAGGAUGAAAGACGGUUUCGGCUGUCACUUACAGAUGGACCCGCGGCGCAUUAGCUAGUUGGUGGGGUAAUGGCUCACCAAGGCGACGAUGCGUAGCCGACCUGAGAGGGUGAUCGGCCACACUGGGACUGAGACACGGCCCAGACUCCUACGGGAGGCAGCAGUAGGGAAUCUUCCGCAAUGGACGAAAGUCUGACGGAGCAACGCCGCGUGAGUGAUGAAGGUUUUCGGAUCGUAAAGCUCUGUUGUUAGGGAAGAACAAGUGCGAGAGUAACUGCUCGCACCUUGACGGUACCUAACCAGAAAGCCACGGCUAACUACGUGCCAGCAGCCGCGGUAAUACGUAGGUGGCAAGCGUUGUCCGGAAUUAUUGGGCGUAAAGGGCUCGCAGGCGGUUUCUUAAGUCUGAUGUGAAAGCCCCCGGCUCAACCGGGGAGGGUCAUUGGAAACUGGGAAACUUGAGUGCAGAAGAGGAGAGUGAAUUCCACGUGUAGCGGUGAAAUGCGUAGAGAUGUGAGACCACCAGUGGCGAAGCGACUCCUCUGGUCUGUAACUGACCGC
rnacentral:rRNA from 1 species